AAAGUCGUAACAAGGUUUCCGUAGGUGAACCUGCGGAAGGAUCAUUAUUGAAUGAAUGUAGAGUUGGUUGUCGCUGGCCUUCGCGGGCAUGUGCACGCCUUCUCUUUCAUCCACACACACCUGUGCACCUGUGAGACGGAGAGCUUGCCCUUUCGCGAGGGUGUUUUCUCCGUCUGCCAAUACACAAACUCAUAUAUAAUAAUUUGAAUGUAAUCGAUGUAACGCAUCUAUAAACUAAGUUUCAACAACGGAUCUCUUGGCUCUC
rnacentral:misc_RNA from 1 species